UCCAGGAUAGCUCAGUUGGUUAAGCAUGAGACUCUAAAUCUCAGGGUUGUGGGUUUGAGCCCCACGUUGGGUGAAA
rnacentral:tRNA from 1 species